rnacentral:rRNA from 1 species
CGCAUCUGUGCAUGCAGCAUAUCAAUAGCGGAGGAAAAGAAACUAACAAGGAUUCCCCUAGUAACGGCGAGUGAAGCGGGAAGAGCUCAAAUUUGAAAUCUUAAAGGGUUUCCCUUUACGAAUUGUAGUUUAAAGAAGUGUUUUCUGUUGAGGUUUUGGUAAAAGUUCUUUGGAAUAGGACAUCAUAGAGGGUGAGAAUCCCGUAUUUGACCUUUACUUUCAACUUUGUGAUACACUUUCAAAGAGUCGGAUUGUUUGGGAAUGCAGUCCAAAAUGGGUGGUAAAUUUCAUCUAAAGCUAAAUAUUGGCGAGAGACCGAUAGCGAACAAGUACCGUGAGGGAAAGAUGAAAAGAACUUUGAAAAGAGAGUUAAACAGUACGUGAAAUUGUCAAAAGGGAAGCGUUUGACACCAGUGUUGUUUUUCUGAAAAUCAAUUAAAGAACUGUUUAUGCUAAGUUGUUUAGACUUUAUCAGCUAACUGUUUAGUUUUGAGCUUUUCUUUAAUGCACUUUUCAGUUAACAAGUCAACAUCAAUUUCUUUUGCUGUAAAAAAGCUUGAGGAAGGUGGCUUGAGAUUCGUCUUAAGUGUUUAUAGCCUCUUGCCUAUGCAGUCGGAGAGAUUGAGGUCUGCAGCGUAGAUCCUUCGGGGCUAAAUGCAUUUGUGCUAAGUUAUAGCAUUUUAUAGACAACUUGUUGACUAUGAUUUGUCUUGUAGCUUACUCGCUUAUGUUAUUUUACCUACGCUUAGGAUGUUGAGCGCAUGUCUCUCUCU